rnacentral:rRNA from 1 species
CCUACGGGAGGCAGCAGUAGGGAAUCUUCCACAAUGGGCGCAAGCCUGAUGGAGCAACACCGCGUGAGUGAAGAAGGGUUUCGGCUCGUAAAGCUCUGUUGUUGGAGAAGAACGUGCGUGAGAGUAACUGUUCACGCAAUGACGGUAUCCAACCAGAAAGUCACGGCUAACUACGUGCCAGCAGCCGCGGUAAUACGUAGGUGGCAAGCGUUAUCCGGAGUUAUUGGGCGUAAUGCGAGCGCAGGCGGUUGCUUAGGUCUGAUGUGAAAGCCUUCGGCUUAACCGAAGAAGUGCAUCGGAAACCGGGCAACUUGAGUGCAGAAGAGGACAGUGGAACUCCAUGUGUAGCGGUGGAAUGCGUAGAUAUAUGGAAGAACACCAGUGGCGAAGGCGGCUGUCUGGUCUGCAACUGACGCUGAGGCUCGAAAGCAUGGGUAGCGAACAGGAUUAGAUACCCCAGUAGUC